UGGGGAAUUUUGGACAAUGGGCGCAAGCCUGAUCCAGCAAUGCCGCGUGCAGGAUGAAGGCCUUCGGGUUGUAAACUGCUUUUGUACGGAACGAAACGGCGAGCUCUAAUACAGUUUGCUAAUGACGGUACCGUAAGAAUAAGCACCGGCUAACUACGUGCCAGCAGCCGCGGUAAUACGUAGGGUGCAAGCGUUGUCCGGAUUUAUUGGGCGUAAAGAGUUCGUAGGUGGUUUGUUAAGUUUGGUGUUAAAGAUUGGGGCUCAACCCUGAAACUGCACUGAAUACUGGCAGACUCGAGUGUGGUAGAGGCUAGUGGAAUUCCCAGUGUAGCGGUGAAAUGCGUAGAUAUUGGGAAGAACACCGGUGGCGUAGGCGACUAGCUGGGCCAUAACUGACACCGAGGAACGAAAGCCAGGGGAGCGAAUGGGAUUAGAUACCCCAGUAGUCCUGGCCGUAAACGAUGGAUACUAGGCGUAUCGGGUAUCGACCCCUGAUGUGCCGCAGCUAACGCGAUAAGUAUCCCGCCUGAGUAGUACGGCCGCAAGGUUG
rnacentral:rRNA from 1 species